UAGAUCACAGCUGGCUUACCUCUGCGGGU
rnacentral:sRNA from 1 species